rnacentral:lncRNA from 1 species
AACCAUUAUCUACCCAGGUGACUAUAUUCUCUGCCAAGGUAAGUCUACUGGGGGACAAAACUCUGUAUAUCAUGAUUAUCUUCAUUAAAAAAAAAAUGCUCUUCCCUUUAUUGUGAGUAUUUGAAAGCAGGAAAGUAAUUUCAUAACAAGAUUAAUUCACAGAAAGGUAAGAAUGACUAAUAGCAUUUUGAGGAAUACCACUUCAAGUAAUUUGUUCAUACUUACAGAAUAAGGACAUACAUUUCUUUGAGCAUUUCAUCUGUUUGAAAAUAAUCUAUUCUGUCCCUGUGUGUCAUUCGAAACCCAGUUUUAGAUUUCAAAUAUGUUAUCAUGAUAAAGUUAAUCCAAAAGGAUAAAUCUUUAUUGACACUACUCUAAGGACUAGGAUAGAUAAACAAGACCUCUUCAAACCCACAGAUCAUAUCAUAUUGGAAACUGAUUGCUCAGAUCACUCUGUCAUAUUCUUAUAUCUAAAGCAGGACUGAGGAUUAAAAACCUUCCUACGGUGUCUUUGAAAGAUCCUUUCUUUGCAUGGAUGAUGGGGCAGAGUGGCUUAAUAUCAGAAAGCAUGUUCUAUAGAAUAAAAUAAAUAAGUACAUAAUUAAUUCCCAUAUAAUCUAUUCCCUUCUUUGCUUGGUCAGAAGUUCCUACCAUUUGAUUCUCUAUCUGUGGAGUGAAUAUCAAAGAGUUACAACAAGACAGCUAUUCACACAGGAGGGGCUUUCAGAAGACUCCUAGCUUGGGCGGACACAAAACUGUAGAAGACAACAGUCAAGACAAGGGUAAAAUGAGCUGGUGAAAACCUAAAGGCAAUGGACUGCUGCUGGGUCUCUGCAUUGCACUGGCCUGGCUCCAGACUUCCUGAAUCUGGCUACAACAAAAGCAACAGUCCCCUAAAAGGAGCCUUUUAGUCAAUGGUUUAAAUUCCUGGUUUUCUGUCCCUCAAGGGACAAUGAAAGGGGCCUGACCUCUUGGUCACCUCAAGAAGGUUUGGAGUUCUCUGGAAAGAGGAGAAAGACAACCUUUUAACAGUUUGAUUGGAUAGCUGGAGUCACUACACAGGCACAGAAAAAAGACUGAAGAGAAAUAAGGUGGAAAAUUUAACUGUAUGGUGAAAUUUCAGGUGAUCUCCUUUUACUCUUUGUAAAAUUCUCUACAAUAAGCAUGUGUUUUAAAAACCACUAAAAAUAAAUAAUGUUAAAAUAUGCA